rnacentral:tRNA from 1 species
GCCCCUGUAUCUUGCAUGGUAGAGCAUCAUUUUUGUCCAGUGGGGGCGCGGGUUCGCAUUCCCGCCGGGGGCUCAA